rnacentral:lncRNA from 1 species
GAUAAAAUAACGGUGAGAAUAGGGAGGAGAUAGUGGGAAUAUUUUUGUGCAUCCACCGUAGAAAACCCACAACAGAUCUUCAAAGACCAUAGCCGGUAACCAAGCCGUCAAAGCUUCUGAGAGAACAUCCUAACAGAUCCAAAAAAACCGAAGUUUACAGAGCCUAAGGCCAAACGAGAGAGACAGAUCUACUCUAAAAGACCCCGCUGACCCCAACUCCAGCACCAGAACCAUAAGAAUGCCUCACCAAACCGUGGAAGGGGAGAGAGAGAUGAAAUGAAACCGGCUCCCCAGUUUCCAAACUCAGAUUUGGAUCCCAUAUCGAAGCUUUCACCACCGUCCUUAGCCGAAGAACCCCUAAUCGACCACUCACCACCGUCUCGCCGCAACUCCAUAGAACAAACCCUCCAGAUCUGAACCGCAGUGGCGGGCAGGCCACAUAGAGAUUUUCUCUUUGCCAAUGUUCAUGGAACAAACAUUUUUACAAUUUUGAUUAGAUCAAAUCAUUAAAAUAUAUUUUAUAUAUCUUUUGUUAUUACUAG